UAACACAUGCAAGUCGUACGCAGUAGUUUUUAACUCUAGUGGCGGACGGGUGAGUAACACGUGAGAAUUUGCCUUUAGGAGGGGGAUAACAAUCGGAAACGAAUGCUAAUACCCCAUAUGCUUUCGAGUGAAAUGGAUUUAUAUUUAUCCGCCUAGAGAGAAGCUCGCGGCUGAUUAGCUUGUUGGUAAGGUAAUGAGCCUACCAAGGCGACGAUCAGUAUCUGGUUUGAGAGGACGAUCAGACACACUGGAACUGAGACACGGUCCAGACUCCUACGGGAGGCAGCAGUGGGGAAUUUUCCGCAAUGGGCGAAAGCCUGACGGAGCAAUACCGCGUGAGGGAAGACUGCCUAUGGGUUGUAAACCUCUUUUUUCGGGGAGGAAUCAAUGACGUGUACCUGAAGAAUAAGCAUCGGCUAACUCCGUGCCAGCAGCCGCGGUAAGACGGAGGAUGCAAGUGUUAUCCGGAAUCACUGGGCGUAAAGCGUCUGUAGGUGGUUUAAUAAGUCAACUGUUAAAUCUUGAGGCUCAACUUCAAAAUCGCAGUCGAAACUAUUAGACUAGAGUAUAGU
rnacentral:rRNA from 1 species